rnacentral:lncRNA from 1 species
UUUAUUUUAUUUGUUAUUUGCGCAGAUUCGAUAAGUUCAUAACAUAAAAAAAAAAGAAGACAAAAUGAAUAAAGUAAAAUUCUUACGAAUAGGCUUUUUGAAUGAUGAACAAAUCCGUAUGCAUUCGCUCAUCUAAAAUGGAGUCAACCUCCCAUUGCGUAUUGGUACUUAUCUGGUAUAGAAUAGAUCUGCUUCUCUUUGUUCCUACAAACAGAAUUGUGACAUUCUGACUAAAAUACUAAAAAAAAAAAAAAUGGAAUCCUUUCUCCGAGAUAAUCCACUGAAAAAGGGAGGUCCAUAACAUAGUUUUUUCCAGUGCAAUAAAGUUACAUAGUGUCUAUCUUUCGUUGAUAAGGGG